GGAUAGCUCGGUUGGUUAGAACUUGGUGCUGAUAACACCAAGGUUGCAGGUUUGAUCCUUGUGUGGGACA